rnacentral:rRNA from 1 species
GUGGGGAAUCUUAGACAAUGGGGGCAACCCUGAUCUAGCCAUGCCGCGUGAGUGAUGAAGGCCUUAGGGUCGUAAAGCUCUUUCGCUGGGGAAGAUAAUGACGGUACCCAGUAAAGAAACCCCGGCUAACUCCGUGCCAGCAGCCGCGGUAAUACGGAAGGGGUUAGCGUUGUUCGGAAUUACUGGGCGUAAAGCGCGCGUAGGCGGAUUGGAAAGUUGGGGGUGAAAUCCCGGGGCUCAACCCUGGAAUGGCCUUCAAAACUCCCAGUCUUGAGGUCGAGAGAGGUGAGUGGAAUUCCGAGUGUAGAGGUGAAAUUCGUAGAUAUUCGGAGGAACACCAGUGGCGAAGGCGGCUCACUGGCUCGAUACUGACGCUGAGGUGCGAAAGCGUGGGGAGCAAACAGGAUUAGAAACCCCUGUAGUCC